UACGUAGGUGGCAAGCGAUACUCGGAAUCACUAGGCGUAAAGCGCAGGUAGGCGGUUUGGUAAGUCUUUUGUGAAAGCUCCCGGCUUAACUGGGAGAGGUCAAGGGAAACUACCGGACUAGAGUGUGGUAGGGGAUACUGGAAUUCCUGGUGUAGCGGUGAAAUGCGUAGAUAUCAGGAGGAAUACCUAUGGCGAAAGCAGGUAUCUGGGCCAUCACUGACGCUGAGGAGCGAAAGCAUGGGGAGCGAACAGG
rnacentral:rRNA from 1 species